rnacentral:rRNA from 1 species
UACAGAGGGUGCAAGCGUUGUUCGGAAUUCUUGGGCGUAAAGCGCGUGUAGGCGGCUUUGCCAGUCGGGUGUGAAAGCCCUCGGCUCAACCGAGGAAGUGCGCCCGAAACUGCAGAGCUUGAGUACCGGAGAGGAUGGCGGAAUUCCCCAAGUAGAGGUGAAAUUCGUAGAUAUGGGGAGGAACACCGGUGGCGAAGGCGGCCAUCUGGACGGAUACUGACGCUGAGACGCGAAAGCGUGGGGAGCAAACAGG